CUACGGGCGGCUCCAGUGGGGAAUAUUGCACAAUGGGCGCAAGCCUGAUGCAGCCAUGCCGCGUGUAUGAAGAAGGCCUUCGGGUUGUAAAGUACUUUCAGCGGGGAGGAAGGGAGUAAAGUUAAUACCUUUGCUCAUUGACGUUACCCGCAGAAGAAGCACCGGCUAACUCCGUGCCAGCAGCCGCGGUAAUACGGAGGGUGCAAGCGUUAAUCGGAAUUACUGGGCGUAAAGCGCACGCAGGCGGUUUGUUAAGUCAGAUGUGAAAUCCCCGGGAUCAACCUGGGAACGGCAUCUGAUACUGGCAAGCUAGAGUCUCGUAGAGGGGGGUAGAAUUCCAGGUGUAGCGGUGAAAUGCGUAGAGAUCUGGAGGAAUACCGGUGGCGAAGGCGGCCCCCUGGACGAAGACUGACGCUCAGGUGCGAAAGCGUGGGGAGCAAACAGGAUUAGAUACCCUAGUAGUC
rnacentral:rRNA from 1 species